AUUGCUUGUUUCCAACCACUGCCUCUCUUCCUUGCAUAGCAGCAACAGGAGUGAUUGGAUAAAUCCUCUUGAGGAUUGCGAUUAACACAGAAGGAAACCCCUGAGUAGGAACGGCCACCCGAGGUGUUGACAGCAGCUCCCGUUCCGAAGAGGAAGGCAGCCUGUCCAGACCGGGCACAGAGGCUGCAAAUACACUUCGGAUUUUUUUAUUUUUUUUUAAAUUUUUUUUUGCUGCGUCGCAUAGUCCCGACAGAUUGGUUCAAGGUCUGCCGUAUUUCCUGUAUCAGGAAGGUUUCGACUGAAAGAUGAGAUUCCUUUGCAGUGGCAUUAUGGGCCACUAAAGGAAAAGGCCGGUGACAUUAAUCCCACAGAUUUAAUUAAUUUCAUCAUCCCACUGAUGAAACACUUUCUAAAAGCUAAUCAAGCUGUGAGGUAUAUACAUGGUAGAGGAGGGUGUUUCUAUUUGAAAUCAGUCCGUAUCUGAAGAGUAGGUCCGAUGAAUUUAUUGGAGAACGCAGAAUGGCAAAGGCAUUUCUGUGACCAGAUCUAAAAUGAAACAUUCACUCCUCAUUAUGUACACUGUGUUAAACCUGACAGUCCUUGGUGAGAAAGCUCUUCCCCAUGUAAAAUAAGCAGGAUGUAAUGGACUGUGGGCAUCUGACACUCAUUUCCUAUUACUCUACAGCUACUUCUGUUCAGUCUUGCAUUGCAUGCAUGUGAUUUUAUGUAAUGAAAGACUCAUUACAACUUUAAGCUUUUUGAGGUAGGGUCUGGUUAUUAUAUAUGGCAUUCACUUUGUGAAUCCUCGUGUGUUUCCCUGGCAUUAUUUACAUAAUAUGAUCAGUUUUAAAACUGCUUUUGUCAGUGAAAGCUUUGACAAACACUAGAGAGGGAGUUGCAUGGCUCAGUGAAUCACCAUGAGGAGGGCGAACAGUACAGCAGAAUCUUAAUAGUGCAUUAAAAGCCAUUUAAAAUUCAGAUUCACAGUGUUUCCCAAGAAGGAGAGAGCACGGCUGUUUGCAACUCUUAAUGUGCACAGCUUUUUUCCCUGAUGCUGUGAACUGUGUGUGCUUUUUGAGCAUAAAUGCUCAGUGGUAAGCACAGAGGAGCAUUUUUUAGCUGAAGAAAACAACACCACCCUGAAGCAUCUCAAGUGUUGGAGCAUAUUGCCUGUCCAUCUUUAUUAGUACACCACCCUGUGUUAAGCAGCUGUGGUUUUAUUUUUGCAUGAUCAUGUAUGACAGGUUUCACUGUGUUCACUGUUACUAAGUUAUAUUAGUAACUUAAGGCCAAACAAACACCAUUAACUCAAAGAUAACCACCAGUACUGUAACUUUUAUUUGCUAAUAAAUAUCUUAAUAAACAGGCUUACCCCAUCUGUAAGACCUGAUAAUGCCUCUUAGGAAAUCAUAGAAAAAUAAAAUACAAUAAUAAUCAAUAACUUGUACUUUGUACAAAAAUCUCAUUAUGUUGCUCAGCAGGUAGUUUUGCCAAACCCCAUAUUCUUUCUGCAAAGAGAUGGCAUAUGUGAUGCAACUCACCUUAAAAACACUCUAAUGUUGAGAGCUGAGCAUUCUAUUACACUAUUAACUUGUAGGCAUGCCAGCACAUGAAAAUUUACAUGAAACAUCAUAGUAUCAUAGGAAUAGAAUCAUAAUAAUAAAGAAAAGAAGAUAACACCACUUUUCAGUAAAUAAUAACAACUUCACGUCUAAUGUAAAUUCCCUUUGGGACUGCAAAUCAGUAGGAUAAGCUUUUUAUUCCAUGGAUAUUCCUACAGUACCGUUAUAAACAGGCAAAACCAAAAUGCAGUGGGACGUGUAUGGGAGAUAUAUUAGGUGAAGAAAAGUAAUUCUGAGGAGUGAGGCAGUCCCAGGGGGAAGCAUCGACACUGGCUGUGCAAUGUUCAGUCUCCCAGAACGAGCGGCUCCAGUGCCACGCGAGCUCAGACCGAUGGAGGUGGAACCCAGAGCCUCUGGUACUGCAGCACCAGGGCAGCUCUGCUGGGAGAUCGCUGCUGAAGACUGAGCCACAGGUAGUUGUCAUUAUUCAAACAUGCCUUGGUUAAAGAAGCAAUGGCAAAACAAACCUUAGCAGGGGUCUUUAAAGAAAAGGUGGGUUUCAGACUACUGGUAAGGAUAUGAGAUCUGUGCUGAGGCCAUGGUUUCAUUUUGUAAAAUAAUUUGCGAGUAUUAUGAUUAUACCAUUGCUUUUGAAGCCAUCUACCUCUGAAGUUUUGACAUGGCUGCUUAAAUAUAUAAUCUAAAGUGUCUGUCAUCAAAUAUUUAUUCAUAUAUACACAUACAUUGAUACAUUUUAUGGCUAUGCUAGAACAGCAAACUAUGAAGAGCAGUCAUAUUUAGUUUUGUACAAUCUAAUUUCACAGAAGAGACAGAGAUUAAAACCCCUUUUAAUUCAGAUACAUUUAAAACCAACACACAGAAAUAGAUAGAGGCUAUCCUGAGAAAACAUACCAACCACAUUAUCUUCCAAAAGUAAAUCAAAGCUAAUGUUUGGAAGGUAGUAAAAUAUUUGUUUUGUAUUUUUUUUCUGAAAGUUGAAGUAGUUUUUUUUUUAAAAAAAAAGUGAUGACAAAAUUCAACCUGUUAAUUCCAACUAGAUCAAUGAAUGUUGCUUUGCUAGAAAAUAAGCUAUUGCCUUUCAGUAAACCGGGUUUCACAUGAUAUUCUACAGAUUUUUUUUUUUUCUUGCUAAACUGCAGGUGCAAUCCUGAGAAGUGCAAAGAAGUUCCCAAAGUCAGUAGGAUUUAUACCACACCAGAGAAGAAUGAGCCCUUUUUACAUCUCUGGCUUUUCAGUCACGGCAGUGCUGUAUGUGAUGUAACUGAUACCACCAGAGAGUGUUGAUAUUGGCCUCAAGAGCAGCAGAUGGAAGGCUCUAGGUAAGAGCAACAAACACUGAAUCCCAUCACCAGAGUGAACAAAGAAACAGCUUUUCCUACUUUUAGUGUGAAAUAGACCUCUCAACCUUAGAGAAGUUGGGAGAAGAAAUUUCUGCAGAAGAAAUGGUAGUAAAAAUGCUACACUGCCAAUUCAAAGCUCACUGUUUCUUGGGGAGAGGCAGAUAGAGAAUCAUGUCCAUGAAGCUGUAAAAUGCUUACAGGUUUCAUUAUUAGGAAUCUUGGAGUGGGAUGGUUUUCUUCAGAUAGGGAAUUAGUGAAAGAAUCAAUAAAUGGAACCACUAAGAGGGCAUUUGUUAUUUUGUUUGCUAUUGUGCCAUUCAUUAACUGGCAAAUCUGAAAACUUAGACUGCAGUGCACCAGAAGUAUGAAGCAGCUUGUUCAAAGAGGCAAAUCAUCAGCCAGAACUUGUAUUGCAUCCUGAUUUAUGCUUAGGAAAGAAGAAAGAUAGAAAAGUCCUAUUUGUUUUGGAGGUUCUGUUUGUUUGAUGGGGCUGGUGAAUUUAAAUCCAGAAGUUCGGGAAAUUAUCUGGGGGAAAAAACCCCACAAACCCAGACCAUUUCUGCCAGCUACCCUAUGAGAUGUGUAGGUCAUUUAGGUUACUAAUUCCAAAGUCAGAGUUGACCUCCCAUUCCAGAGAAAACAACAAACAUGGCAGCACCCAACUUUUGUACCUUGUAUUUUACCAUGUUGAAGGUAACCACAGCCUACUUGACCACAUCCCUGAGGUAGCAGCCUUGUCUUUUAGGCUCAGUGCACUCUCCCUAUCAAAUGAGACUAUCUGUUUCAGGAAAGUCUGUAGAAACCUUUGAUUUAAAAUGUGUUUCACUCACUUGACCUCUUCUUAUGGAUACAACUGACUUUGGAUCAUGCCCUGAGGGACUAACCUACAUCUCAACCUGAAAUGCUUCAACAGAGCAAUUAAAACCAGCAAAAACUUUUAGCAAUCAUUUGAACAACAAGACAGCUUGUGUCCCAGUAAGUGGUGGUUCUCUAACAACAAAUGAAGCAUAACAGUAGUGGGAUGCAGGAAAGGAAAGUCUGAUUGCAGAGCUGGAGCCUACCUACAGAGUAUACAGACAUUGGGCUUCAUCCCACUGCCAUGGAAGUCAGUAACAAACACUGAGGAACUUAGAUCACAGCAAAACUAUUGCCUGUUGACACAGAAACUUUUAAUUCCUCACAGUCACAUCACUCUCCCAGGAAUUAAUCAAGAUGUUCAUUAAAUCAUUCAGCAGGAUUUGGAAAUACCGGGUGUUUUAGGGCAGAACUUACCCAAGACAAAAAUAGAACUUCCCAAAUUGACAAUUUGUGACUAAAAUAAUCUACAGAUUUGGAACACUGGCUGCACUUUGUUUUUUUCAGCCAAUCCUAUUGUACACACAGAGACUGUGAUGGUAAAUUAUACACCUUAGACCACCCAGCUUCUUAAAGAAAAAAAAAAAAAAAUCCUAUUAUGCUUUUCCUUUUUCCUCUCAAUAAUUUUCAGUCAAAGACCAUUCUGAAUGAGAGAAAACUGAAAACUCAGUUUCUAAGCCAGUAUUAACUGGAGGCUUCUACAUUUUAUUAUUUAUUUAGGUUCCUCUCAAGAAAGUCAGUAUAUAGCUAUAAGAACAAUUAGUAAUUCAGAUUUUUUUUUUUUCUGCUGGACUUUCCAGUAUAAAUUAUGACAACUGUACCUUUUUUUUCUUUGUCUUGCAUUGGAUCCUGAAAGAUCAGAAAAUAGAUCUUUUUUAAAAAAAAUCUUCCUGUCACUCAGAGCAUGAUGUGGUGAUGAUACUAUGAAAAUAGUCCCUAGACUGUUUCCUUGGGCACUUUUUUCAUCAUCCACAACCAGAAAUGAGUACUUGGGUUCCAAAGCAGGUUUCUCCAAAACCUGAUUUUCCAGAUUCUAGAUUCAAGGUUACUUUCUCCAGAGUCCCUUGACAUCCCAUAGUUCAGAAUGCAGAGAUCUGGAUUUCUCUUUGCUUUGUGGAUUUUCAGUCUCAGGGUUUUGGCUUACCUACCACUCAACAUACGUGCUGCUGCUGACCAGCUCUUUACUGAAGUGUCAGAAAUGAAGAUAAUAAGGCAAUAAUAAGGCAAAAUAUGUUAUCUCAUGCUGUAUGACAGAUAUUUUAUAGGAAUUUUAAUUUUUGAUUAUACCUAACUCUAGUCCCAUUUCAAAUCAGCCUUUUUAUAUGAAUUAAGCUGCACAGACUCAGAACUGUUUACAGAUUCAGGAGUUUCUGAGGCUUCACCGAGAUGUGUGCAGAACUAGUUAAAGUUCUGAUAGAUACCGGUAAAAAUUUUGGGCAGGAACAAAGUAGAACAGAUGUGAAAACUUUAAUUACUUUGAGACUGAUCUUUUUAAUUCUAUUGUUUCCCCAUAUCUUCACUUCACUGUCAGAACUUGCAUUUUUUAUUGCAGUUUAAUUAUUCAGGUAUGAAAAUAUCAGAUAAUAUGCUAAACCUUUCUGGAAGAGAUAGGUACUUGGGAAAUCUCUUCUUCCAGGAAAGGAAAGUAAGAUACACUCCUGCAGGAUAUUUAAAGAAAUAGACACACAAAAUAGAUUUCACUGAACUCUUGUUACAUUAUUUCACAUAUAAAAUAUGGAAAUAUAGUUUAAUCCAUUUUUUAAUCUUAUGUUUUUCGUCAACCAUUGUUGUUAGUUUUCCCUUCUAAAAUUCAGCAUAUCUUUUUAUACUAUAUGUUGGCAUAUUCCUUACCCAUAUUCCAUUGAAAAUUUCUCAUUUUAACCUCCUAGUUGUCUAUAAAUGGCCAUUUAAAAGAAAAUAAUUUAUAUAUUCUGUCAACAUCUUUGGUGAUUUCAGCAGAGGAACUGAAAACUCUUUAUAGCACGGAUUCCAUCUUCCUAGUUCUGCUGGCUCAUGGGCACCUUGCUUCCCUGUUGGGAUCUCUAAUUUCUACACUAACUAGAUGAAUGCAAGAGAAUUAGCAGGAAGGGGUUGGGUGAGGUGGCAGCAGAGGGGUGAGCAGGCAGCUUUCUCCGAGCCAGUUUGAAAAUGUUUUUUUUUACCAGUGCAGGAAAAGAGAGGCUGUCUAUUUCCAGCUAACAAGCCAAGGAAUUUUGGGAAGAAUUAUACACACACAGUACAUGCCACUAAGAAUUUUAAAAGCCUAUGGAGCAAAUAAACCCCAUUGGUAGUUGGUAAUAGGUAAUCAAUUCUGUAGGUUUGAAAAAUCUGAUAUUAUGAUAUACAUUCUAUUUACAAUUCUUUAUGUACAUAUAGACAUAAAUUUUAUAACCACCACAUGUUCACCAUAUCCUGGUCCAUAAUCUGAGGAAUUGCAUACAACACUCAUGGAUGAACAGUGUGCACUGCUAAAUGCAGGAUGUGAUGGGGGAAAAUUUUGUCAGCUGCAAGUACCUGGCACUGUCUUAUGCAACUCGGGUUUUUGUCAGAGCUCCUUGGCACAGUAUGGACAGUUCUUCCCUUUUUACAUUAUUGUAGGUUUUAGGGAGGUUUUUUUUUUCCUUUUCAGAGCUGAUUCAUUUGUCUCCCCAGGAGAUUUCAAGAUCAUUGUCCUACUAAGAGUUAGCCCAGCCCAACACAUCUUUCCCUCACUCUGAAAAAAUAAUUAUAGUACAAUUAUAUAAAAAAAAAUUAUCUUUGUCAUUUAUUCAGGAAAGAUUCAUUACAAUUGGUGAACAAGAGUAUUCUGGAAGAAAACUGUUUAACGAAACACAGAGUUCUUCAACCAUGUGCAAAUGCCACAAGAGUCUCUACCUUUAGCACUUUUCCUGGAAGAUGCAAUGGAAGACAGACUUUUUAAAAUUAUUUUAACUCAAGAAAUGUUGGACUGGAUUAGAGGCAAGUCCUGCUUUCCACUCUCUGAAUGAAUAUUCCAAGACAGAGUAAGCCCAUGGCAGGGUAGUUACGGGUGCCCUUGUUCCUAAGAGAAUUCUGAGCUGCCUGAAUGUGUCCCAUAGAACCACUCCAUCAGCUGAGGUAAAACAGUUCAAUAAAUUCUGCAGUUUAUAACAGGGCCAGCUGGAAAUGAGGGACUGCUCUUCAAUACAAGGUCAAGAAUGCUCUGUGCUGCUUUACCUUGGUAGCUGAUGUGGUCCCAUGGGGUCAUUCUGACAUGGAAAUUGCUCUGGGUAAUGCAGUCUCACUAGGUACCUCCAUAGUCCCAGCUAUUCCUCAUGGUAAAUCUCAUCUGAUUCUGGAUAAAGGGGGUCUGUUUGUUACUUAUGACCCAACUUUGGAUCCUGUAGGAAUAUGCACUGAAAAAUAAAUUAAUGAAGCCCUGUGUAAGGCUCAUGAUAUAAAAAAUGGCAAAUAGAUAGUCAGUCUUAAGUGAUGUAAGAAUCAAAGUACUGCAGUUUAUGAGUUCUGUGUCAGAAUAAUACAAGUAUUGCCUAAUACAAUACUGGGCACAGAAUGUUUGUCCAGAACAACUAAUUUAUUUGAAGUUAUUGUUGAGUGCACUAUUUGCAAGUAAAGGAUUGCUUUUUGCUCUCUGAUGUCCUGAAGCAUGGCAUGUUUCUAAGCUUUUAUUGGACAGACACUGGCUUUAAGUACAUGAGAAACAAAAAGGGUGAAUUUUGUUCGAGAAAAAUUUAAAUGACGUGGCUCAAUUCUCUUCUUUUCACCUCAUGGAAUCUCAUUGUUUCUCAGUAAUUCCCAUGUCCAAACACCUCAUGAGUAAAUUCUGCUAAACCUCCUGCUGUGCCUUGUUCAGUUUUAACACCAUGAACAUCAUGAACAAGACCCUCUCUGUUUCACAGGUUCAGCAAAAUGACUGGAUACAAAUAAGACAUGAGAUUCAUCUGACCAAGCACAGAUGCCGGAAUGGAUGAGCUAUCACUGAAUGCAGAGAACCAGGAAUGAAGUCAACAGCCACCACAGUUCAGCACAAUCCACCAGCUUAGUUUUCCUAUAAACAUGCCCAGCUGCAAGAUCUGAGGAAGAUCACAGAGGUGCUGAGGACUGGAAACUUCAGAUAUGCCAGCCUAGAAAGGGAAUGAGACAGCAAAGCAGGGCAGGAAGUGGCAUUAACUUUUAAAGCACGUUUGAAAAAGUUGCGGAUUAAUCCUGGGCAGU